GAUGAACGCUAGCGGCAGGCUUAAUACAUGCAAGUCGAGGGGCAGCAGGACUGUAGCAAUACAGUUGCUGGCGACCGGCAAACGGGUGCGGAACACGUACGCAACCUACCCAAAACUGGGGGAUAGCCCGGGGAAACCCGGAUUAAUACCUCGUAACCUUUUUACGUGGCAUCACUUGAUAAGUAUAGCUCCGGCGGUUUUGGAUGGGCGUGCGCCUGAUUAGUUAGUUGGUGCGGGUAACGCCCCACCAAGCCUGCGAUCAGUAACUGGUGUGAGAGCACGACCAGUCACACGGGAACCGAGACACGGGCCCGACUCCGACGGGAGGCAGCAGUAAGGAAUAUUGGUCAAUGGACGCAAGUCUGAACCAGCCAUGCCGCGUGAAGGAGGAAGGUCCUCUGGAUUGUAAACUUCUUUUAUGGGGGACGAAACCCGGAUAUUCUUAUCCGAUUGACGGUACCUCAGGAAUAAGCACCGGCUAACUCCGUG
rnacentral:rRNA from 1 species